rnacentral:rRNA from 1 species
UUAAGCGACUAAGCGUACACGGUGGAUGCCCUGGCAGUCAGAGGCGAUGAAGGACGUGCUAAUCUGCGAUAAGCGUCGGUGAGGUGAUAUGAACCGUUAUAACCGGCGAUUUCCGAAUGGGGAAACCCAGUGUGUUUCGACACACUAUCAUUAACUGAAUCCAUAGGUUAAUGAGGCGAACCGGGGGAACUGAAACAUCUAAGUACCCCGAGGAAAAGAAAUCAACCGAGAUUCCCCCAGUAGCGGCGAGCGAACGGGGAGGAGCCCAGAGCCUGAAUCAGUGUGUGUGUUAGUGGAAGCGUCUGGAAAGGCGCGCGAUACAGGGUGACAGCCCCGUACACAAAAAUGCACAUAUUGUGAGCUCGAUGAGUAGGGCGGGACACGUGGUAUCCUGUCUGAAUAUGGGGGGACCAUCCUCCAAGGCUAAAUACUCCUGACUGACCGAUAGUGAACCAGUACCGUGAGGGAAAGGCGAAAAGAACCCCGGCGAGGGGAGUGAAAAAGAACCUGAAACCGUGUACGUACAAGCAGUGGGAGCCUCUUAAUGGGGUGACUGCGUACCUUUUGUAUAAUGGGUCAGCGACUUAUAUUCUGUAGCAAGGUUAACCGAAUAGGGGAGCCGAAGGGAAACCGAGUCUUAACUGGGCGUUAAGUUGCAGGGUAUAGACCCGAAACCCGGUGAUCUAGCCAUGGGCAGGUUGAAGGUUGGGUAACACUAACUGGAGGACCGAACCGACUAAUGUUGAAAAAUUAGCGGAUGACUUGUGGCUGGGGGUGAAAGGCCAAUCAAACCGGGAGAUAGCUGGUUCUCCCCGAAAGCUAUUUAGGUAGCGCCUCGUGAAUUCAUCUCCGGGGGUAGAGCACUGUUUCGGCAAGGGGGUCAUCCCGACUUACCAACCCGAUGCAAACUGCGAAUACCGGAGAAUGUUAUCACGGGAGACACACGGCGGGUGCUAACGUCCGUCGUGAAGAGGGAAACAACCCAGACCGCCAGCUAAGGUCCCAAAGUCAUGGUUAAGUGGGAAACGAUGUGGGAAGGCCCAGACAGCCAGGAUGUUGGCUUAGAAGCAGCCAUCAUUUAAAGAAAGCGUAAUAGCUCACUGGUCGAGUCGGCCUGCGCGGAAGAUGUAACGGGGCUAAACCAUGCACCGAAGCUGCGGCAGCGACACUAUGUGUUGUUGGGUAGGGGAGCGUUCUGUAAGCCUGUGAAGGUGUACUGUGAGGGUUGCUGGAGGUAUCAGAAGUGCGAAUGCUGACAUAAGUAACGAUAAAGCGGGUGAAAAGCCCGCUCGCCGGAAGACCAAGGGUUCCUGUCCAACGUUAAUCGGGGCAGGGUGAGUCGACCCCUAAGGCGAGGCCGAAAGGCGUAGUCGAUGGGAAACAGGUUAAUAUUCCUGUACUUGGUGUUACUGCGAAGGGGGGACGGAGAAGGCUAUGUUGGCCGGGCGACGGUUGUCCCGGUUUAAGCGUGUAGGCUGGUUUUCCAGGCAAAUCCGGAAAAUCAAGGCUGAGGCGUGAUGACGAGGCACUACGGUGCUGAAGCGACAAAUGCCCUGCUUCCAGGAAAAGCCUCUAAGCAUCAGGUAACAUCAAAUCGUACCCCAAACCGACACAGGUGGUCAGGUAGAGAAUACCAAGGCGCUUGAGAGAACUCGGGUGAAGGAACUAGGCAAAAUGGUGCCGUAACUUCGGGAGAAGGCACGCUGAUAUGUAGGUGAAGCGACUUGCUCGUGGAGCUGAAAUCAGUCGAAGAUACCAGCUGGCUGCAACUGUUUAUUAAAAACACAGCACUGUGCAAACACGAAAGUGGACGUAUACGGUGUGACGCCUGCCCGGUGCCGGAAGGUUAAUUGAUGGGGUUAGCGGUAACGCGAAGCUCUUGAUCGAAGCCCCGGUAAACGGCGGCCGUAACUAUAACGGUCCUAAGGUAGCGAAAUUCCUUGUCGGGUAAGUUCCGACCUGCACGAAUGGCGUAAUGAUGGCCAGGCUGUCUCCACCCGAGACUCAGUGAAAUUGAACUCGCUGUGAAGAUGCAGUGUACCCGCGGCAAGACGGAAAGACCCCGUGAACCUUUACUAUAGCUUGACACUGAACAUUGAGCCUUGAUGUGUAGGAUAGGUGGGAGGCUUUGAAGUGUGGACGCCAGUCUGCAUGGAGCCGACCUUGAAAUACCACCCUUUAAUGUUUGAUGUUCUAACGUGGGCCCCUUACCGGGGUUGCGGACAGUGUCUGGUGGGUAGUUUGACUGGGGCGGUCUCCUCCUAAAGAGUAACGGAGGAGCACGAAGGUUGGCUAAUCCUGGUCGGACAUCAGGAGGUUAGUGCAAUGGCAUAAGCCAGCUUGACUGCGAGCGUGACGGCGCGAGCAGGUGCGAAAGCAGGUCAUAGUGAUCCGGUGGUUCUGAAUGGAAGGGCCAUCGCUCAACGGAUAAAAGGUACUCCGGGGAUAACAGGCUGAUACCGCCCAAGAGUUCAUAUCGACGGCGGUGUUUGGCACCUCGAUGUCGGCUCAUCACAUCCUGGGGCUGAAGUAGGUCCCAAGGGUAUGGCUGUUCGCCAUUUAAAGUGGUACGCGAGCUGGGUUUAGAACGUCGUGAGACAGUUCGGUCCCUAUCUGCCGUGGGCGCUGGAGAACUGAGGGGGGCUGCUCCUAGUACGAGAGGACCGGAGUGGACGCAUCACUGGUGUUCGGGUUGUCAUGCCAAUGGCACUGCCCGGUAGCUAAAUGCGGAAGAGAUAAGUGCUGAAAGCAUCUAAGCACGAAACUUGCCCCGAGAUGAGUUCUCCCUGACUCCUUGAGAGUCCUGAAGGAACGUUGAAGACGACGACGUUGAUAGGCCGGGUGUGUAAGCGCAGCGAUGCGUUGAGCUAACCGGUACUAAUGAACCGUGAGGCUUAACCUU